rnacentral:rRNA from 1 species
UACGUAGGGUGCAAGCGUUAAUCGGAAUUACUGGGCGUAAAGCGUGCGCAGGCGGUUUUGUAAGUCUGUCGUGAAAUCCCCGGGCUCAACCUGGGAAUGGCGAUGGAGACUGCAAGGCUAGAGUUUGGCAGAGGGGGGUAGAAUUCCACGUGUAGCAGUGAAAUGCGUAGAUAUCUGGAGGAACACCGGUGGCGAAGGCGGCCUUCUGGUCCAGUACUGACACUCAAGUGCGAAAGCGUGGGGAGCAAACAGG